AGUGUAUUUUCUAGAUAAUGGGAGUCUGCGAUUUAGUUGGCAUAAUUUGGGAGAAAUAAACCUUUUUAAUAUAUAUUUUUCUCAAAGGCUGCACAGGGUUCUCUUAUGCCUUUUGGAGCACAAAUCUUAAAUGCACCUUUUCUUAGUGACUGCUGACACUGACUCUGCACUUGAGCAAACUUUUUGCAAGCUCCUCUGAGCCCUUUUCCUACAGACUUUGUCCUUGGUCCCAUCCUUGGCCUGCGGAGUGAGUUUGUUAGGUAGUUAGAUGGACAUUAGCAGCUGGGAAGAAAAGCUGCUAUGAGAAAAGAAAGCAGAAAAGGUUGUCACUAAGAUAGCCCCUGGCCCACCUAGGUUCAACCCCAAGACUGCCCUGACUCUACUCUAACUGAUAGAGUUUGUGGUAAAGUCUGUGGCAAGCACAUCCUGUAGAAGGAGAAACCAGGGCACAGGUGAAAAUUCCCUAAAGUGAUAGGUGCCCAGUAACCUAAAACUGUAUCUUUGAGUUGAUCCUAAGCUCAUUUUACCCUAAGCUCAUUAUAAUAAAAUUUACUUGUGGUUUUGCUCCCCAAGUGGGCUUUUCUGAAUGAACUCCGGGUAAAAAUAUAUGCAGUUUAAUUUAAGCUAUGUAACCACAAACUUCAAUCAAGUAACAUCAGUCUGUCAUUCAGACAGAGGCCAAACCUCUACUCCUCGCCACAAGCUCCAUAAAAGCAACCUGAGUUCUGUAAAAAAGUGUUGAUUUCACUUUGCAGAGAUCAGCCCACUCUCCCUCUGAGAGUGUAUUACUGUGCUUCAAUGAACUUUGCUUUGAGCUUGCAUUUUGGUGUUAGUCUGCAAUUCUUUGCUAACCAUCACAAGAACCAAGAUUGUUUGUCCAGAGCUCCAGCUCUGUUAAUCUCCAUUAAAUAAUCAAUUCCAAUGCAGAAUUCUCAGUAACAAGUUGAGUCCGCUUCUAUCAAAGAAUCCUGCUAAGCCAGUUUAUUAAGAAUCCUCCACUCUUGAUAUCCAAGUAAGCACUUCUUCCCCACCCUUCAUUCCUAAACAAGUCCUCUUAGUAGUUUUGCAUUCAAUCUUAGCUACAAAUCACCACUUGUCUCUGUUGUAUUCAGAGUUGAGUUUAACCUCUUUUUUAUCACAAUAGUCUUGACUUGACCUCUAUUGAAACAGUUUUGAGUAAAGUCUUCUUUGCCAUUUUAACAAAUGUAAAAAUCAUUUUCUUUUACAUUAUAAAGUAUUAUUAUGACCAAGAAUUAUUCAGCAUGACGUCCACAUUCUGAUGUCUGUUUGUAUCUGUCCCCCACACAGGGUUGCACUCCAGGAUCCUGGCAGCCUUCCUCCUUGUAAUUUCCUUUUUCUAAUCUGCAGUGUUUAAGAAAUCAGAUAAUCAAAGUUGUUAGAACUGUAUGCGAUUUAAGGAAAUAAAUUCUAAACGAUGUUCUAAUGCUUAGUCUUUGUAACAGCUAUUUCUGUAACCCAGAAUUCAUUUUCUCCAUUAUUUUAAGUUUCCAACUAUGUUUAGAAGAUGAGAGUAGCAGGACACACCAACUGUGAAUGAAGAAAAUGCUACUAUAUUAAAAGUAGUGUAUAAAAGUACUAGGAGUUACAUCUUUUUCAUUUGGCAUGAAAAGAAAGCUUUAGAUGGUCAACAAAGCUUAAAAUUUGUGGCUCUGUCUGCGAAUGAUUAUUAUAUAUAAAUGAUAACACAUUUUUUACAACCAAUUCUUGCUUUCAGCUGGUAUAUUUGUCAACAAAUAAGUGGAAUGACUCAAAUUUAUAUUUGACUGCCAGACUGGAAGCAUCUCUCCUAUAGGAUUUAUUUUCUUUUUAUAAAAUGUAGUCGCAGUGAACGGUGAUGGCCAGAAAAAAAAGAAAAAAAAAAA
rnacentral:lncRNA from 1 species